rnacentral:rRNA from 1 species
CGACGCCGCGUGAGGGAUGAAUGCCUUCGGGUUGUAAACCUCUUUCAGCAGGGACGAAGCGAGAGUGACGGUACCUGCAGAAGAAGCACCGGCCAACUACGUGCCACCAGCCGCGGUAAUACGUAGGGUGCAAGCGUUGUCCGGAAUUAUUGGGCGUAAAGAGCUCGUAGGCGGUCUGUCGCGUCGGCUGUGAAAACUCGGGGCUCAACCCCGAGCCUGCAGUCGAUACGGGCAGACUAGAGUGCUGUAGGGGAGACUGGAAUUCCCGGUGUAGCGGUGAAAUGCGCA